AUUGAACGCUGGCGGCAUGCUUUACACAUGCAAGUCGAACGGCAGCGCGGGCUUCGGCCUGGCGGCGAGUGGCGAACGGGUGAGUAAUACAUCGGAACGUGCCCAGUAGUGGGGGAUAGCUCGGCGAAAGCCGGAUUAAUACCGCAUACGACCUGAGGGUGAAAGCGGGGGAUCUUCGGACCUCGCGCUAUUGGAGCGGCCGAUGGCAGAUUAGCUAGUUGGUGGGGUAAAGGCCUACCAAGGCGACGAUCUGUAGCUGGUCUGAGAGGACGACCAGCCACUCUGGGACUGAGACACGGCCCAGGCUCCUACGGGAGGCAGCAGUGGGGAAUUUUGGACAAUGGGCGAAAGCCUGGUCCAGCAAUGCCGCGUGUGUGAUGAAGGCCUUCGGGUUGUAAAGCACUUUUGGCGGGAACGAAAAGGACUGUGCCAAUACCACGGUUCGAUGACGGUACCCGCAGAAUAAGCACCGGCUAACUACGUG
rnacentral:rRNA from 1 species